UACAGAGGUCCCCAAGCGUUUGUUCGGAUUCACUGGGCGUAAAGGGUGCGUAGGCGGUUGGGUAAGUCUGAUGUGAAAUCUCACAGCUUAACUGUGAAACUGCAUUGGAUACUAUCCGGCUAGAGGAAUGGAGGGGAGACUGGAAUACUUGGUGUAGCAGUGAAAUGCGUAGAUAUCAAGUGGAACACCAGUGGCGAAGGCGAGUCUCUGGACAUUUCCUGACGCUGAGGCACGAAAGCCAGGGGAGCAAACGGG
rnacentral:rRNA from 1 species